rnacentral:rRNA from 1 species
AACGAACGCUGGCGGCAUGCCUAACACAUGCAAGUCGAACGAGACCUUCGGGUCUAGUGGCGCACGGGUGCGUAACGCGUGGGAACCUGCCCUUAGGUUCGGAAUAACUCCCCGAAAGGGGUGCUAAUACCGGAUAAUGUCUUCGGACCAAGGAUUUAUCGCCUUUGGAUGGGCCCGCGUUGGAUUAGCUAGUUGGUAGGGUAAAAGCCUACCAAGGCGACGAUCCAUAGCUGGUCUGAGAGGAUGAUCAGCCACACUGGGACUGAGACACGGCCCAGACUCCUACGGGAGGCAGCAGUGGGGAAUAUUGGACAAUGGGCGAAAGCCUGAUCCAGCAAUGCCGCGUGAGUGAUGAAGGCCUUAGGGUUGUAAAGCUCUUUUACCCGGGAUGAUAAUGACAGUACCGGGAGAAUAAGCUCCGGCUAACUCCGCG